rnacentral:rRNA from 1 species
UACGGAGGGUGCGAGCGUUGUCCGGAAUCACUGGGCGUAAAGAGCUCGUAGGCGGUUUGUCGCGUCUGCCGUGAAAGUCCGGGGCUCAACCCCGGAUCUGCGGUGGGUACGGGCAGACUAGAGUGAUGUAGGGGAGACUGGAAUUCCUGGUGUAGCGGUGAAAUGCGCAGAUAUCAGGAGGAACACCGAUGGCGAAGGCAGGUCUCUGGGCAUUAACUGACGCUGAGGAGCGAAAGCAUGGGGAGCGAACAGG